CUAUUAUGAAAAGUAGUUUACCAAAUUGAUUGGGAAUAUGAAGGGAACAACGAUCAGGGCUUGGGGCGAUCUGGAGUGGAGGUAUGAAUAAAACGAAUUCAGAAUAUAAAUUCGAAAGAAGCUGCUGCGUUAGGUUGUAUUUCUGAACAAGCUUCAUGGCACGCCAACUACAAACAUUCUGCUUACGUCUUUCUCGGAGGCAUUCCCUUUGAUCUCACUCAAGCCGAUCUUCUUGCUGUUUUUGCACAAUAUGGAGAGAUUGUUGAUGUUAAUCUUGUCAGAGAUGAAGGCACUGGUAAAUAAAAAGGUUUUGCUUUCAUUGCAUAUGAGGAUCAAAGAAAUACAAAUCUUGCUGUUGACAAUCUGAAUGGAGCUCAAGUUCUCGGUCAAAUCAUUAGGGUUGAUCAUGUUACUAACUAUAAAAAGAAAGAAGAAGAAGAUGAAGAAAUAGAGCGGCAAAAGAUGGAAGCACAAGGAGUGUGCCGUGUUUUUCAAAGAGGCGAAUGUAACCGUGGAGCUGGAUGCAAAUUUUCCCAUGAUGAACAACAACUAAGACAAUUGUAUUAGAGAACAUGUCGAGGGGGCAGAACCUUUCUACAAUCAAGGAAAAAGAAAAAGGAAAAUAGAAGAUGCCAGAGAUGGUUCCAAAAACCCUACAUCAAACCAUAGAAAACCACCCCCAACUGCAAGUUAUAUCAAUAAAGUUCUAACUUCUCGAAUGGUUCCUUCUUGGGGUCUGACAUAGAUUUUCAUUUAGCUUCACCAGCUUUACCAAUUAUCACCACAGAAGUAAAAAUACAUCUCCUCUCCUAAAACUUCUUAAAAUCUUCCAUAAAGACAAAGAAAACACUGACAGACUUUCUUGGGUUUCUCACAAAAUGUCCCAGCCAAUGGCCCAUGUUCAUCGAUAUUCUAUCAACUCUAACCCAUUCCCUUACCUUUGGCCAUUUGAGUGAAUUAAUCUUAUGUCAACUAAAUUUCUUCGAUAGCCAGUGUGGGAUGAUUCAUAAUUUUUUAUGUAAAUGUCAUGUUGUUGUUGGGAUUUUGGAAGGCUUAGCUUUAGAUUGUCUUCCUAUUCAUGAUUGCCACAUUACCAGUAAUUGUGAAUGAAAUCUUUCUAUUUUGUUAUAAUCUGAUUGCAUGAAUCAUUAACUAUUGUGGCAUGUACAUGACAUGAGACGUGAUGGUUGCUUCAUAUUUUUGUUCUCAAUAGAUUUUUAACUAUAUUUCUGUAUUUCAUGUGUAAAAGAUCAUUUCCCAUUGUUUGGGGAAUGUAUACUAUUCCCAGGGUGUCAAACAAAAAUGAUAAUUGUGCGUAUAUGCCUACAUACGUACGUACAUGCAAAUGUAUUUAGGUGUCAACUGUUAUGCAACUUUAAUUCCAAAUUGGACCCUAUCAAUACCUAAUUGGUAAAGAAACUUUUGCCCUUUGUGGAUACAAUUGUACAUGUGUUAGUAGUUUAAACAAUCUGUGUGUUUGUAAUGCCCGAAUGCAUCUGCAUCUCAAUGCCAACCCAGUGAUCUGGGUUAUUCAACUAUGAUUGAUUACUCAAUAGUUCAAUUAAAAAAUUCUUAUGGAUCUUACACGUAAUUGUUGAAGCAUGUGUGAAGGUAGAGUCACACAUUGGAUAAAAAUUAAAAGAGAUAGGUCUUAAUAUACAUAAGAUAGGCUCUCCACUUAUAGGCUUGAGCUUUUAAGUGGGUAUAAGUUCCAAAUAAUGUGUGUCAGGCCUUGAUGUGUUAUUUGUGGACUCUAGAGUUUCUUCUUAAUGGAUUGGGCCGGUAUUGUUGUGUGCUUAUGGGCUCUUGGUAUCAGAGCUAAUGGCAGACGAUCAAUGGGCGGACUCUCCUGGAGCAUCGAUGUUGGUGGACUUGGGCUUGCAUGGAGACUCUCAAUGGAGCAAGAAAAAUACAUGAUUAACUCUUGAUGGAGCAAAGAAAAUUCUUGGUACACGUGGAAAGGUUGGACUGCGAUAAGGUGGUUCUCAAUGGAGUAUGGUGAAUCAUGAUGGAGUGUGUGCGGAUGGCCCAAGUUAGACUCAAUGUUGGAGAGUUAUAGAUCAAGAUUAAGGGGGAGUGUGAAAUGAUCUACGAUGAACUUACUGAUAAUAGAUCAAGAUUUGAGGGGGAGUUAGGAGAUGACCGAUGUUUGGUUCACACAUGAUGGGGAGCAUGUGUGAAGGUAGAGUCCCACAUCAAAUGAAAAAUAAAAGAGAUAGGUCUUAAUAUACAUAAGAUAGGCUCACCACUUAGAGGCUUAAGCUUUUAAGUGGGUAUGAGUUCCAAAUGGAUUUUUUUUUUUAAAGUUGAAAUAAAUUGAUUUAUUUUUUUUCAGGUAAUUUGCAUUACUUAUUGUUCUUAUGUAAAAAAAUUAUUAUUUUAUCUUUUCUCAAUCAUAUAUUAUUCUCAAAUUUUAAUUUUUAUCUUUGAGACAUUAAACUUCUAGUCGAUACAUAUUAAAAAAAAAAAAAACACACAUUAA